UCCACGAGUCCAUCCUACUGGUCUAGGGUAUGUCUAUGUAAUAUGGCUAGACUAGCGAAUGAAGCAGCAAAGAUAAGGCGUGUCCUUGAACCUCUGUUCCAGAACUUCGAUGCUAACAAUCACUGGCCCUAGAAAAAGGAGUUGUCUACCCUGUUUUGACAUUUUUGCAGUCACUUCUGGAGGAAACAGGCUGCAUUUGGAACUUGAUGCGCCAUCUCUUUAGGCUGUUGCGUAUGUGGUUUUGGAUACCCUAGACUGUAAUUCAAAUAACCUUUUGUAGACAUAACUGAUAUAUGGUUAUAUUAUCAUCAGGAGAAAAUUCGCAUUUGCUAUUAUCUAUCCUGGUCAAGCACUUGGAUCAUAAGAGUGUUGCCAUACAACCUUCUUUACAAGUAGACAUUGUUAUAAUGUCACAGCACGACUUGGACAAAGCUCAAUGCAGCGAGCCACAGUUGCUAUCAUUGGUGCAAUAUCUGACUUGAUGAAACAUUUACAAAAGUGCCUGCAAAAUUCAUCCAAAUUUUCCAACCCCAGGGGUGGCAGUGAUGGAUGGAAUGCUGAUCUUCAGUUUGCUUUAAAACGCAUCUCACAGCUCUCAGAUAAGGCUUUUCCUGAUGCUCUAUUCCACCAAUUGCUUGUGGCAAUGGCCCACCCAGACCAUGAGACUAGAUUUGGAGCACACAGUGUUUUCUCUAUCUUGCUCAUGCCAUCCUUGUUUUCUCCUUGGUCAGACCAGGAUAAGAAAACCUCUGAAGCUGUUUCUGAAACUUUUGGUGCAUCAGCAUCACAAAAGAGGAGUAAGGUUUCUCCUUUCUGGGUGAAAGCAAAGAUAAUGUUGAUGCCGUGGAUGGAAAAUUGUGGGAAGAAGGCAAUUCAAUUUCAAAUGUGGGUGAAAAACAUGAUUCUCAUGAUCAUUUAAACAGCUUCUGGCAUGCUGCCCCAGAUGGAAAAAUGCUAACUUCCCUUCGAUUGAGUAGCCGUCAAAUCAGUCAUUUGCUUUCAUCAUUAUGGGUUCAGGCAACAUCUGCAGAGAAUAUGCCCACAAAUUUUGAGGCCAUGAGCCAUACUUAUAAUAUCACUUUGCUUUCCACACGAUCUAAGGCCUCAAGUCACAUGGCACUAGUUCGGUGUUUUCAGCUGGCAGUCUCUCUGGCUCAAGAAGGUUAGCUGAAUCUGUUAGUGUAUGGUAAAUUGGUAAUAUGUUUUGAUUGUAGGGAUUGACAACAUUUGCUCUCUAAUUCCUCUUUUCUCUUUGGCUAAAAGAUCCCUGAUUUAUGAUUUCUUAAUUGCUCUUGAAGUUUAUUUUCUGAAAUUAUUAGAUUGGUUAUGUUGGUGCACUUUACUUCCCAUACCUGUUUCUUGCAUCCAUAUCUAAGCAGGUCUGCAACAAUCUCGUGGAAGGUCUCUCUUCACCUUGGCAUCAUUCAUGCUUAUUUUUGCAGCAAGGGCAGGAAAUCUUCCAGAGCUAAUUCCUUUUUUUAAAUCCUAUCUAACAGAAAAAACAUUUAGUUUACUUUUCCAUUACCAUUUAGAAGGAAAUGUUUUGUUGUUGUUUUUCUAUGACUAUGACAUGUUUCCCGUGGAGCUUUUGUUAAUAUAUUUGCAUCAAUUUAUGAAUAUUAUGGCAGGCCAACCCUUAUCUUGAAUUAGUUGAAGAUAUCAGGCUGCAGGCUGUUUAUGUAGAAUCUGAUGACGGGAAAAUAGCAUAUGGAUCGGAGGAGGAGGAUGUUGCUGCUUUAAAAUCUCUUUCACAUGUGGAAGCAGAUAAUGGUCAUUUGAAGGAAACCCUGACAUCCCAAUUCAUGACAAAAUUUGUCAAAUUAUCAGAGGAUGAAUUAUCAGGCAUAAAACAGCAACUUCUGCAGGAGUUUUCACCUGAUGAUGCAUAUCCAUCAGGAGCUCCCCUGUUUAUGGAUACACCUAGGCCAUGUUCCCCUCUUGCCCGAAUGGAGUUUCAGGCAUUUGAGGAGGGUGUCUCUGAGAUCAUGCCUGCAGCUGCCUUGACAGAUGAUGAAACCUUCACAGAACUUAAUGGAAGCCAGUCAGGUCUCAGAACAUCAAUAUCUAUCCAUACACUUGACAUCCUAAGCGUCAAAGAACUUCUGGAACCAGUAAGGGGAGCACUUCCUGUUUCUUCGUUUCUUUUUCGACAUUUAACUGCUUGGUGCAUGGAAAUGUCAUUCCUUGGCUGCAUUUCUUUCCCAUUUUAUGUUGUUUAGAUCCGUGAUCCUUAGCAAGGAAUGGUUUUGGAAUGUAUUGAAAAUUGCAAAUUUAGGAAAGUUCAAAAAAGAAAAGAGUUAGUUUAAAAUUACCUGUUCCUUGCGACCAGAUGAAGAGUCAGUGUGAAGCUCUUGUAACUGGGAAACAGCAGAAAAUGUCAAUACUGCAUAGUUUUAAGCCUCAAGCAGAAGCCAAGGUUUUCCCCAUUGAAGAAGAAAAGAAAGACACCUCAGUCUAUGAUGUGGUGAGUCUGUUUACUUUACAGAUACAAACCAUGCUUAAUGAAUUGAU